UGGCUCAGAAUCAACGCUGGCGGCGUGCCUAACACAUGCAAGUCGCACGAGAAAGGGUAGCAAUACCUGAGUAAAGUGGCGCACGGGUGAGUAACACGUGAAUUAUCUACCUCCGAGUGGGGAAUAACUGAGAGAAAUCUUAGCUAAUACCGCAUAACACUUACGAGUCAAAGCAGCAAUGCGCUUGGAGAGGAGUUCGCGGCCGAUUAGUUAGUUGGCGGGGUAAUGGCCCACCAAGACGAUGAUCGGUAUCCGGCCUGAGAGGGCGCACGGACACACUGGAACUGAAACACGGUCCAGACUCCUACGGGAGGCAGCAGUGGGGAAUUUUGCGCAAUGGGGGAAACCCUGACGCAGCAACGCCGCGUGGAGGAUGAAAUAUCUUGGUAUGUAAACUCCUUUCGAUGGGGAAGAUUAUGACGGUACCCAUAGAAGAAGCCCCGGCUAACUUCGUGCCAGCAGCCGCGGUAAUA
rnacentral:rRNA from 1 species